UGUGUUUAUUUUAAAUAUUAUGAUAAUGCCAAAUUCUGGACGACGGCCGUGAGUUUUUCACGCUCGCUAUACUCGUACACGCUACGUAUAAGUAUACUAUACAUAUUAACUGGCCAUUAUCUUCAAUAGCAUUAUUAAUUAGUAUUAUAUGAAAAACGGACACGUAUUUGCGUGUCCAGUGGCACUAAGGAAAGCAAAAACAACUCUUGUACACUCAUGCGUGCGUCCAUAUCCAAAAUCAAUAAACGUAAGCGACAAGUUGGUACCAAUCAAGAUAAGACGGUAAUUAGAAAAACGAGUCACGACAAUCGAGUACAUAAUAAUAACUAUUUGUCCCUUACAUAGAUUAACUGACUCAAUAAGAUGCAUUUUAACCUAGGGGGCCU